GUAGGUGCGGGUGGACGUAGUCACGUAGCUCCGGCUGGAGCUCGGCCGGCUCGCGGUGCCCGGGCCGCCGAACAUCCUGCGGUAGGAGGACGAGGACACGGACCUGGUGGACAUGGCUGCGGAGGGUGGCGAUGGCCUGGGCGGCGGCGGUGGCGCGGACUGGCUCCCGGAGAAGAGGCGAACGAGGGCGCGGUGGGUGUGGGUGGUGGGAGCGCGGCUGCGUCUCUGGCGCGGGGACCUCGGAGCGAGAGUGGCAGAGGACUGGACCCCGCCGAGGGCGCUGUUUUUAUAACCCCGUUAGGAAAGAGGGUCCCCUCCCACUGCCAUCCCAGCCGCGGAGCGCGCCAGCCAAUAGGGACCUAGCGAGAAGCGGGGAGGGUGGGCGGGUGGGGUGGGGGCGCCCUCGAGCCUUCCUGCUCCGGGGCCUGGGACUGGGCAUGGUCCCGUUACUUCAGCGCUGGGCUGGGACUUUUGGGGGCUUUCCGGAUGAUAGUCUGAGCUGGGCUCACCCUGGGGUGCUGAAAAAGGCGGGGUCGCGCGGUGAGGGGGGGGUCCGCCUGGGACUGAACCAGAGGGGUCCGGUGGCACCACGCCAAAGGGGCGUGGGAGGAGGUGCGCGGCGGUCUCGGGGCUGCGGUCAGGCGGGGAGACCCGCGGGCAAAGGAGCGGGAAGAGGAAAGAGUAAGGAAUCCCUCAGAUCUGAAGUCGCGGAGAAAGAAACAAAGAGCGCCUGAGAUUGGAACGCGGGGUGGGGGCGCGCACAGCGCAGGAACGCAGGGCUCAGGCCUCGCCGCAGCCUCGCGCGCCGCCCGCUUGGAAAGGGGGGCUGCUCCGGCCCGCGCCUCUGUCCAUCGACUUGCCUUGGCGGAGAGAUGUUGGGGGGAGGGGAGGUUCUGUCGAGGGACCUAACGGGCUCAGUCCAGCUUCGGACGGCGGGAGUUGCGAGACGGCGGUGGCAGAGGAAAGCCCGAGGGAGAGGGGUGGGGUCGCUUAGUCACCGGCGGUGACUCACCGCGCCCUGCUGUCCCGCCGAUUGAGGGCUCCUAGCGGUUUAGGGGAAACCGUUAGACCAGAUUGAUUCAAGUCUCAGCGGGCUCCGCGCGCGCUGCUAGUUCUCAGUGCUACCAACUUACAGCUGGGCCAUCGCCUUGCUGUGUGCGGUCGGGCCCUGUGGGGGACAAGAGCGCCCCUAAGUUUUUAAUAACUCGCUAAAGCCUGUCUUUGCUCGAAUGUGCGGACUUUUUGUUAGCAAGAAACUUCUGCAGCCUUUGGAGAGGCGCCAUACGUGGGCCUCCCAGAUCACGAUUGCACCGGGAAGGUUUUUCUUGCAGAGUCCCCGCCCCCGUCCCUCUGGUCUCCUCUCGCUCUUCCCCCUCCCCCCAUGAAACCACACCCAACUUUUUAAACAAGAUCUGAAAAUUCUGGGUGAAAGAGGAAACUCGACGUCCGUAGUUUCAAAAUAGAACUCAGUGAUCAGUGGUUUUUACCCUGGUGGAAGUCAUUAAAGGUAUAAUAUGAGCCAGUUAAAGAAUUAAUUAGGUGUUGCUUAAAAACCCCAAUUUGAUUAAUGAGUUCAAAUGAAAGGCAAUUAUGUAACACAAAUGACAGAAUCUUUGGCGGCAAUAGAUUUAUGUGUUAAUUUUAGGACAGCAAUGCACAGUACAGGGUUCACGGUGAUUUGUCUGGGAAAUGCCAUAGGUCCUGUUUUCCAAAAGAAUUCGUGCAAUUGACCUUGGGGUGAGGGGGAUAAAACUGUCUACGCAGCAAAAAACUUCGUGUCCAAGACAUGGAGGGAGUGUUCAGAUUCGGUCACCUUAACCUUUCUAGGGAAAUCACUCAAUUCAAGGGCUGUUGUUUCAAUAUUAGUAACGAGCAGAGCUGAGUACUUACCCGCCAAGGGAGAUAAAAGGAGACUAUGUAAAUCAGUCUUCUCGUGAUUUAGUAGCAAUUGAAAAGGCACAGGUUUUUUUGAGUAUUUAGAUUUAUGGUGUACUGAAAGGAUUAACUGCAGAACCACUGUAAAAUUGAUUCUGCAGUGGAUAGGAGAAAAAAAAGUAUUUCUCUCUUUUUUUUUGGUGGCGGCAGGGGGUACUGCAGGUUACUUGGUAUUUAAGAAACAUAAUUUAGAGGUAAAUGAAGAGCGUAUUCUGACUUCUUUGGACAAGCCUCUUUUAGGCAAUAUUUUGUUUACCUUAUCCCAGUUCGUUCUUGCAAAUGGUGCUUGCCAAGGUGGAAUUACAGGACUCUCUACUGCCCAGCUCGCCUGCUGGGGCUUUCUUUUAUUCUCUCUUUCACUGGGAGGCUGCAGGUCAUUCCCCAAGAGCAUUCCUGGGGCUGGGUGCCCUGGAGGACAAGCCUAUGCUCUGAGUUACAUCUUGCUUUCUGAGAGCCCUUUAUUCAAGCCACUGCUCAGCAAAUGCCACCAUUGUGAGUGUGCCUGGAACCCUUAGAAUGAGAAAAGUGAUCUCCCUAUGGGAGGAAGAGAGUGUGGAACUCACUUCUACGUGCAGUGCCGAUCCCAGGGCAAUGCGACGCUUGCUGACUGACUCACUAUGGAAAAGGAGGACAAGGCAUUGGCGAGGUGUGGCACUGUGCCCUGCUGGUGCCCAUAGCCGAUUCCUCAGGGCUGCGGUGAUGUCUCCUGGAAUGGGCACUGGUCCUCUUCAUCAUCUCAGGGAUAGGUAGCUCCUCCUUCCAACCUGUCCCCAUUCUGAAGUCUCUGGGCUGUGAUAGGCUGCUCUCUUGUCACAGACAUAUGUUUGUUUGAUGCAUAUAGAAUGUAUAAAAGUGUAGGUGUUCUGUAGUCCCAGCACUUUGGGAGGCCAAAGCAGGAGGAUUGCUUGAGAUCAGGAGUUUGAGACCAGCUUAGGCAACAUAUAUAUAUGAAACCAAAAAAAGCCAGGCGUGAUGGUGCACACCUGUGGUCCCAGCUACUUGGGAGACUAAGGCAGGGGGAUUGCUUGAGCCUGGGAAAUUGAGGCUGCAGUAGGCUGUGCACACCACUGCACUCCACCCUGUGCAACAGAGUGAGAACCUGUCUCAAAAUAAAGUAUAUGUAUGUACUACACACACAUAUACAUACGCACAUAUACAGCGUUCAAUGUGUUUUUCCUAUUAGAAAAUGCCAUUGUUUUUGGUGGGCUGCAAGAGAAGUGAAAGUUGCAGAAACACUUUCAUUCAUUCAUGUAGAAUUCAUGAGACUUAAGAAUUCAUUUCAUUCUGAGAUAAGAUAUACAGUGCCUCAAUCAAUGGGUGAUAGUUUUCAGUCAGGGAGAUCAAUGAAUCUGAACUCACAUCCUUGAGUGAGACAACUCAGCCUGCUCUCUAUGCUACUGUGUUCUUAGGUAUCUUUUGGGUACACAGACAUAGCUUUCCCGGGUUUUGUGUUUAUUUUUUAAUUGCUAUGAAAACCUAUCUGAGAAGUAUUUUCAAGUGCUGGACUGGGAAGCUGCUUUCAACACAGCAUGAUGCAAGUUGCAUAUAAAUAAAGACGUGGUGGUAUAAUUCAUAGGCCAGGCAUAAACACUACCACAUCUAAAUUACCAACAGUGAUUUUGGAAUUUGCAAGCUGUCAUGAUGUCAGUUGAAUUGGGUGACUUAAACUGACGGACCAGCCAGCCGUGUGGACAGAAGCUUAGUGGCCUAUGGAGGCUUUGGGAAAGCUGGCUAGCCAUGCCAAGAGAACAGCAUCUAGCAGGACUGUUUGGAUGGAAUGUUAGAAAGAAGAAGGAGGGUACACUGAGAGCAUGAAAACCAUAGCAAAACCUAAAAUCCAUGGAAAUACAGGUAAUAAUAAUAAAUAGUAUAAUAGGUAAUGUCGAUGCCAACUGAAUGACAGACACUGUGUAUAUAUUUAAUUUAACUUGAUGCACUCACACCCUCCUGCAAGAUAGACUUGAUCAUCCAUUUCACUAAUGAGGAGCCUAAGAUGCAGGCUAGCAAUUUUCUUGUGGUUGUAUGACUAGCAGGGGUGGGAAGAAGGGGACAAGAAUUUGAAUCGAGGCCUUUCUGACUCUAAAUGCACUUCUCUUUUCUGUUUGCCUUGAUAACAAAAUUUUGCUUACUAUCAACCAGUUCAAUUCACAAAUAUUAAGUGCUGGACUUAUCAUUUAGGGACCUACUGUGUUCCAGGAACUGAAGAGAUGGGAUGAUUAACACAGAUCUUGCUGCGAAGGGGCAUAUUUUUAGAGGAAUUUGGCAGACAGCUAUAACACCAUGUUUACGAUGUAAAAUGAUGUAAAAAACAAAAUCAAAUGACGUAACAGUGAUCAUACUAUGUAAGAAGGGAGAUUUGUUUUCACCUGCAUUCUAAAACAUUACUUUCAUUAGUGAGUUAAAAAUUUUCAUUUAGAUUCCAUUUUGCCUCUUAGGAGGAAUCACAUUCAAGACUGGGUUUAGCUCGUCUCACGCCCUAAAGCCCAUGAACCACCAUCGCUUCCCCUGCCAGCUUCCCUGUCUAUUCAGGGCAAUACAGCAAAACAACAAGAUUGGAAACUUUCAUCAUUGCCACUUCCUAACUAACUCUUCCAUCUCAGAUCCAAUGGGUAUCAUGCCCCGCUCUUCCUGGAUCCACUCCUCUGUUACGUUGCUGUCACUCAGAUCCAAGCCAUUUCAUACCUCCUUCCUGCAAUACUGCAAUUGGCUUCCGUUCCUCCAUGCUUUCUUGCUUUCUUUCUUUUCUUUUUUUUUUUUUUUUUGAGACGGGGUCUCGCUCUGUCCCCCGGGGCUGCAGUGCAGUGGCGCGAUCUCGGCUCACUGCAAGCUCCGCUUCCCAGGUUCACGCCAUUCUCCUGCCUCAGCCUUCCCAGUAGCUGGGACCAAAGGCGCCCGCCACCAAGCCCGGCUAAGUUUUUGUAUUUUUUUAGUAGAGACGGGGUUUCACCGUGUUAGCCAGGAUGGUCUCAAUCUCCUGACCUCGUGAUCCACCCGCCUUGGCCUCCCGAAGUGCUGGGAUUACAGGUGUGAGCCGCUGCGCCCGGCCCCUCCAUGCUUUCUUUUCUGCCACCAAUGCAUCUAUCUUCAAGCCAUCACCCCUUUUUCUUUAAAACUUAUAUAUAUAUAUAUAGAGAGAGAGAGAGAGAGAGAGAGAGACAAAGGCUUGCUCUGUUGCCUAGGCUGGAGUGCGGUGGCGCAGUCAUAGCUCACUGCAGCCUCUUAACUCUUGAGCUCAAGUAUUCCUACUGCCUCAGCCUCCCUAGAAGCUGGGAGUGCCAUCCAUGCCCAGCUAACUUUUUAUUUUUUGUAGAGCCAGGGUCUUGCUAUGUUGCCCAAGCUGGUCUUGAACUCCUGGGCUCAAGCAAUCCUCCAGCACUGGCCUCCCAAAAUGUUGGGAUUAAAUGUGUGAGCCUCCACAUUUGGCCAAAAACUUCCUUCUUUAAACUUCUUGGCAGGAAUUGCUCAUUUCCUCACUGGAAUGUAAUCUCCCUAAGGGCAGGUAGGAAUUUUUCUCUCUUUUGUUGACUAUUGUAUUUCCAGUGGCUAGAGAAAAGCCAGGCACAUCUGUCGAAUAUAUACAUUAAUACAUGAGUAGUUCAUAGAAGGAAGAAAUAUAGGUGUGGGGCUAAUAUUUACUGGUGCUUAUUAUGUUUAAGCAUUGUGCUAGUCACUUUAGACAUGACUGCAUUUAAUCUUCACAAGGUAUCGUGAUACACAACUUUUAUUCUUUUACUCCAAACAUACUUAUUGAGUAUUUGCCAUGUGCCGGGCAGUCUGGUAGACACUGGGGAAGGGACCAAAGCAGGUAUGGCCCAAAGCCUCUUGGAACAUAGUGUUGAGUCUGCGUAUAUGUAUAUGAUACAGAGAGACAAUACUCGUAAAGGAACAAACAAAAUGAUUGCAACUGGUGAUAAAGACUAUGAGGGAAACAGAAAUUUUCCUGCAGAGGAGGUUGAGGAUCAUAGUUAACUAGUGGCCUUUGGAAGUUAUGUCAAGUAUAUAUAUCUAUCCUCAUUUUCCACUGUUCCCCACAAGCAGCAAUUUCAGUAGAACCCUAAGCUCCUUCUUCUUCCAUGAAUAUAGUACAUUUCCCCCACCCUCAGGUCUUUCCUCAUAUUCCAUUUAACAGAUAGAUGUAUUCAUAUUUUUUUGCACUGCCUGCAAUGUUUCUUAGUAUAUUUCAGUAAGUAAGGUGCUUUUUGUGCCUCUAGGGAUCUCAUAGCUUUGUAUAAGGAUUAGAAAGCAGGUAAAGAGUUGGAAUACAUAGCAGAAUGUGGUAAGUGAGUGCUGUAGCACAGAUAGGAUAAAAUGCUAAAGAGCAUAGGUGGAGAAAUAAUCAUUGCAGCGCUAUUCACAAUAACAAAGACAUGGAAUCAACUCAGGUGCCCAUUAACAGUGGAUUGGAUAAAGAAAACAUGGUACAUAUACACUGUAGAAUAUUACAUAAGCAUUAAAAAGAAUGAAAUCAUGUCCUUUGUAGCAACACGGAUACAAGUAGAAACCAUAAACCUAAGCAAAUUAAUGCAGAAACAGAAAACGAAAUACUGCAUGUUCUCACUUCUAAGUGGGAGCUAAACAUUGAGUAUACACAGACACAAAGAUGGAAACAGUAAACACUAGGGAUUCCCAAAGUGGGAAGGGAGGGAGGAGGCAAGGAUUGAAAGACCACCUAUCGAGUACUAUGGUCACUAUUUGGGCAACGAUAUCAUUAGAAGCCCAAACCUCAGUAUCACACAACAUACCUAUGUAACAAACUUGCACAUGUACCCCCUAAAUCUAAAUUAAAAAAAAAAACUAUAAUACUAUACCUAAAAAUAAGUUAAAUUUUGUUGAGAAAAAAAAUGAUCCUAUCUACUUGGGGGAGAACAGAAAAUGUCAUUAGAAAAGAUAGUAUUUGAAGAAUAAGUACAAUUUCUACAGCUUAUCAUGGCAAAGAAAGGUUGCUCUAGUGCUGACCAAACAGUAUAAGCAAAAACUGGGUGGGUGGCAGAGUGCUGAGGACAUUUAGGGAACAGGAAUAAUCCCAGGGUUGCUGGAUUAUGGAGUAUUUGUAGGGGAGAAAGGGAACUGAAAGUUAACGUGGGGCCAUGCGUUGGAUGAGUAAAUGCCAGGAAAAGGAGUUGAUAAUUAAUGUGGUGGGCAGAGGGAAUGCAUUGUGAAUUUCAACUAGGAGAAAGACAUGCUUGUAGCUGUAUUUUAGGGGUGGAGAAUGAGGCUGAUUUGAGGUCUGCUUGAGGUAGAUCAAGUGGAUGGUAAAGGGAGCCUGACGCGGAGAUGAUUUAAGGAAUUGUGAUGUUUAAGGGCUAGGGGAUAAGAAAAAUCGAGUGGGCUCUGAGCCUUGUGAACAGGAUAAUUAAAAGAAUAGAUGCGGCUGGGCGCAGUGGCUCACGCCUGUAAUCCCAGCACUUUGGGAGACCCAGGCGGGUGGAUCAUGAGUUCAAGAGAUGGAGACCAUCCUGGUUAACAUCGUGAAACCCUGUCUCUACUAAAAAUACAAAAAUUAGCUGGGCCUGGUGGUGCCCGCCUGUAGUCCCAGCUACUAGGGAGGUUGGAGCAGGAGAAUCACUUGAACCCAGGAGGCGGAGGUUGCAGUGAGCCGAGAUUGUGCCCCUGUACUCCAGCCUGGCGACAGAAUGAGGCUCCAUCUCAAAAAAAAAAAAAAAAAAAAAAAGAAGAAAAAAGAAAGAAUAGAUGCAUUCCAGACAGAAAUAAUUAGUUGGAAAGUUAAUUUGAGUUGAAAGACGGUUAAUUCAGGUCCCUUAACCUGGAAAUAUCUUCCCUUCUCUAGUCUAUAUAAAUUAUAGUCUCAUGAAGGUGAGCUAUAAUUGGAUAGUGUGGUUUUACAUUAUGCAGCAGUGGUCUCCAGCCUUUUUGGCACCAGGGACCGAUUCCAUGGAAGACAAUUUUUCCAUGGACCAGGCAGGGGGAUGGUUUCAGGAUGAUUCAAACAUUUCUAUUAUUAUUACAUUGUAAUAUAUAAUGAAAUAAUUAUACAACUCACCAUAAUGUAAAAUCAGUGGGAGCCCUGAGCUGGUUUUCCUGCAACUAUAUGGUCCCAUCUGGGGAUGAUGGGAGACAAUGACGGAUCAUCAGGCGUUAUGUUCUCGUAAAGAGCGCACAACCUGGAUCCCUGGUAUGCACAGUUCACAGUGGGGUUCACGCUCCUACAAGAAUCUAAUACCCACCGACCACUAUCAGACCAUAGCCCAGGGUCUACAGCAUUUCUAAGCACUUCUAAUCUCUUCCCUUAAAGGAAUAAAGUAGAUGGUCUUUUAUUGUCAUUUAGCUGCUUUGAGUGUGUUAGUCUUGUUCCCAUAGCUAGUAUAAAAUCAUGAACAUCACGAUUCUCUAAAACAGUGUUUAAAACAUCAGAAGGGAAAGAAAAACCUUAAAGACACUUUCUGGGAGGUAUCUUUGAACAUUUGAGGGGGAAAACAUAGCUAACAAUUCCCUGUAGACUAUAAGUGAUUUUUUAACUUCAUCAAUGUCUAAUUCACAGUCUAUGACAGAGGAAAGAGAAGGUGGUAAGUAUGUAGGGGGAACACAAGAGUUUAAUUAACAAAUGGAGGAGAAAUCUAGUGCAAAAAUAAGUUCCAGCUGAUGUUGGACAAAGAAUUAAAGCCAGAUUUUCAGUAUUAGUUCACUUGAUCAAAAAACAGUAACAACCAAAAACAAACAAAAAACCCAUCAAUCCAGUUAUAAAAACCUCAUGUCACUUGAAAGAGCCCUGAAUGACAUCAUCCCAGUUUAGUUACUGGCUGAGUUAGACUACCAUAAGAAAACUAGCAGGUAUUUGCCCAGUGGCCUAUAAUGUUGUUUUUCCUUUUUUUUUUUUUUUUUUUUUUUUUUUUGUAGACAGAAAAAGAUUAUGCCACAGCUAGAAAAUUUGCCAAGUGCAAUUGGCGUCUUGGGAAUUUACUCUGCCUACUUUGAGGAGGUCAUGUAGUUCCCCAGUGGUAGAAUUUUUUUUCUCAAGAUAUUUAGGUAAGGGACCUAAUAAUAAUUUUGUUUAAUAGCACAAUUUUCUUUUUUAACUUUUAUUUUAGGUUCAAGGGUACAUGUGCAGGUUUGUUAUGUAGGUAAAUUCGUGUCAUGUGGGUUUGUUGUAUGGCUGAUUUCAUCACUCAGGUAUUAAGCUUAGUAUCCAAUAGUUAUUUUUUCUUAUCUUCUCCCUCCUCCCACCCUCCACCCUCAAGUAGGCCCCAGUGUCUAUUGUUCCCCUCUUUGUGUCCAUGUGUUCUCAUCUUACCUCCCACUUAUAAGUGACAACAUGCAGUAUUUGCUUUUCUGUUCCUGCAUUAGUUUGCUAAGGAUGAUGGUCUCCAGCUGCAUCCAUGUUCCUGCAAAGGACAUGAUCUCUUUUUUUUUUUUUUUUUUUGAGACAGAGUCUCACUGUCUCCCAGGUUGGAGUACAGUGGCACGAUCUUGGCUGACUGCAACCUCUGCCUCCCAGGUUCAAGCAAUUCUCCUGCCUCAGCCUCCCAAGUAGCUGGGAUUAGAGGUGCAUGCCACCAUGCCUGGCUAAUUUUUGUGUUUUAGUAGAGACGGGGUUUCAUCAUAUUGGCCAGGCUGGUCUCGAACUCCUGACCUCAGGUGAUCUGCCCACCUUGGCCUCCCAAAGUGCUGGGAUUACAGGCGUGAGCCACCGUGCCUGGCUGAUGUUCUUUUUCAUGGUUGCAUUGUAUUCCAUGGUGUAUAUGUACCACAUUUUCCUUAGCCAGUCUCCUAUUGAUGUGCAUAUCAGUUUAUUAAUUUUCUUUUAAAGAACAGAUAAAUUUAUAAUGUAAAUUUUUAUUUGCCUUUAUGGUAACCUGCGACAUUGGAAGGGGAUUAUUGACCAUCUAUAUAGUCAUAAUCUCUUUCCUCUAAAUCUGCAAAAUAUAAUGGAACUCCAUCUUAUGUAUUUCAAAACUGAUUAAUGAAUUGACUGAUAUUUUCAAAAAUGGACAAUUGGGAGAUACUUUAACUCUGGCAUAUCACAUUCACUCAGCCAGUGAAAUGAUUUUCUUCAGUAUAUUAAAUAUUAUAUUUAAUUGUGAAUAUGUUUGAUAAACUCAGAGUUUAAAAUAAACCUCUCAAGCUUUGGUUUUUGUGUAUAGUGACAAAGAUCAGUGUGAUUUGCAGAGGUUGGAAAUGAAAAUCAAAGACAAAUUCUAGAAAAAAAAUAACACAAAGUAACCCUAAAUGAAGCCAUGUAGCAAAUGGAAGGAAAUAUAAAAUGACAUAAUGACAAUAUGCAAGGAUGAAAAGAUAAGAAAAUUCAUUAACAUUACAAUGAGAUAUAAGUAAAGAAAGACCAUUCAGAGUUAACUAGCAGAAUAAAGGAUUUGGCAGCCCUCUUUGUAAUUCUACCAUGACGAUUUCCAAACCACUGAAUAAGGUUUUGUAUUUCUAAUUAGCUAAGUACUAGAAAUAUGUUCUCUAAUGUGACUCAUAUGGAUAUGUGGCAUAUGGACAAAAAAAUUCUGUGGUACUCAAGCUUAAUAUAGAUUAAGUACAUGUUGUUUGAGACAUAAAUUAUGAGAAGUUUUUCCGAUACAAUAUUGUAAUUUACUUGAAUGGCAUCUCUAGAACUUCAGACAGGUGUGAUAGAAUACGCUGCAGAGAUAUUUAUGUGUUUGAUCAGGGUUUUUCUUUUUCUUUUUUUAAGACAGAGUCUCACUCUGUUGCCCAGGCUGGAGUGCAGUGGCACUAUCUCAGCUCCAACCUCUGCCUCCCAAGUUCAGGCGAUUCUCCUGCCUCAGCCUCCCAAAUAGCUGGGAUUACAAGUGCCCACCACUACGCCCGGCUAAUGUUGUAUUUUUAGUAGAGAUGAGGUUUCACCAUGUUGGCCAGGCUGGUCUCGAACUCCUAACCUCCAGUGAUCCACCCACCUCAGCCUCCCAAAGUUUUGUAAUUACGGGCGUGAGCCACCACACCAGGCCAGGGUUUUUCCUUUGCUAACUCUAGGCUAGCUUUCACAGUCCUUGACCAAUACUAGGUCCUUGAGCGAACCCCAAACAAUCAUCACCAGGCACACUUUGAUAUGAUUGCUAAAACUGGAGUCUGACCUGGAUAGAAAGGCUAAUGAUAACCGUAAUGAUUGCUUUCAUAUAUUGAGUGCCUAUGACAUAUGAAAGCAAUCAUUAUGUACUGCCCAUGGGUUAACUUAUUUAAUCCUCACGACAGCCCGGUUUGACAUAUGAAGAAACUGAGGCACAGAGAAGGUAAGUAGCUUACUCAAGUUUAUCUAGCCAAGAAGUGGCAGACCUGAACACAGGACUUCUGGCUCCAGUCCCCGAACUCUAAACCUCACCGUGCUGUAGUACUUUAUAUGCCAUAGUAAUUUUGUGCUACCAUUGGAGAUGUCCCCAAAUCUCUUUGGCAUUGUUAUCAUGAUGUUUGUCUCUUUGGUCUACUUUUUUCCUAUUCUGAUGCAGCAACAGGACCCAUUUUGAUUCAGAGAAUAUGGUGCCCUUAAUGAAUCAUCAAGAAGUCCAUAGACAGUUUUAGGGGUUUUCUGUGGAGAUCUCAUUUCUUAAUUCUGACUCAACCCACCAGAAUGAAUGGAUAAUUAUGGCAUUUGAAUCUUGCAUAUGAUUAAGUGAAUAAAAAUGCUUUGCCCCAUUUGCUAGUAGAAAAGAAAUAAAACCACAUUUUUGGAAUGCAAUACUUAUAUCAGUUAAAAACAACUUCUCCCUAUACUUACCAUCUAUUAGUUUGAUUUUUAGGGAGAUUUAUUAACAUUUUAGUCCUUCAUGGUAGUACUAUUGUGCAAUCCAAGAAUUAUGGGGGAGUUUUUGGAAAUGAGAGGAGGCUCAGGGAAUUAUAGGCAACCAAGAUUCUCAAGGCCAAACCCAACAGCGAUACUGAUAAUACAUGUGUGCUUACUAUCCAGUUUUUAAAUUUUCUCAUGCAAUACUAAUCUCAUUGCUUUUGUAUGUCAGAUUUUAAAAUAGAGCAUGCUUAAUAUACUUCAGAUGUCUGCAAGGGGAACAGCAGCAAAUACCACAGUCCCAUGGUAAAUAUAAGGGAAAAACAAAGGCAUAUAUGUGUUAACAAGUCUGAUGAAUGGCUCAUGCCUGUAAUCGCAGCACUUUGGGAGGCCGAGGUGAGAGGAUCAUGAGGUCAGGUGUUCGAGACCAGCCUGGCCAACAUGGUGAAACCCCGUCUCUACUAAAAAUACAAAAAUUAGCAGGGCGUGGUGGCAGGCACCUGUAAUCCCAGUUACUCGGGAGGCUGAGGCAGGAGAGUCACUUGAAACCAGAAGGUGGAGGUUGCAGUGAGCUGAGGUCACACCACUGCACUCCAGCCUGGGCAACAAGAGCAAAACUCCAUCUCAACAGCAACAACAACAUCAAUAACAGCAAAGCCUGAUGAAAUCCUAACUCAGCAGUGGCGCAAUUACUUCAUAGAUUGGAUUAUUUUGAAAAGAAGCAGCAAACCCCAUUUGGUGGAUGUAUUUUGAGUCUUUUUUUUUUUUCUGAGACAGGAGCUUGCAAUACCACCCAGGCUAGAAUACAGUGACUCCAUCACAGCUCACUGUAGCCUCGACCUCCUGGGCUCAGGCAAUCCUCUUACCUCAGCCUCUUGAGCAGCUGGGACUACAGGCACAUGCCACCAUGCCCAGAUAAUUUUCUUAAAAUAUAUUUUGUAGAGACAGGGUUUUGCCGUGUUGUCAGGCUAGUCGCAAGCUCCCGAGCUCAAGUGACCCCUCCUUGGCCUACCCAAAGUGCUGGGAUUACAGGCAUCAGCCACUGCGCCUGCGCGGCCUGCGUUUUGAAUCUUUAGGUGAGCAGGCUCCCUGCUAGGUGCUAAGGACGCAGAAAUGAAUACCACCCCUCCCUUCCUCUCAGAGGGCUCCCAAUCUGCUCCUCUUUUCUCUGUUAAAUAUUUUGCCUUUGAGUCUUGCAUAAUGAUGUGGCCACAUUGAGACCUAGUUGAACAGUUUCACAAUAACUCCCUUAAGUCAGAGGGCCUUGGUGAAAUAACAUUGACUUUUACUCUGAAAUCCAUGGAAAUACAAAAUUUACUGUUUUGUUCUCCUUGAUAAAAUAUAGCAUAAUAACUAGUUGCUGGGUUACUACCUAAAACACAGGCCCCAAACUACAGCCAGGAAGGGCAGUUAGCAAUUAAGUAAAGGAAAUGACUAUGACUAGUGGGUCUGAAACCCAACACACUGCCCAUAUCCUUCUUAGCAUAGGGAGGCAUUGAUGUUACUUAGGCAACUUUUAUCACUAAGGAAGUAGUUUUGGUGACUCAUGCUCAUAACAGAAUGACUUAUUUCAAGACCUGAGUGUUCAGUAACCUUACCAUUAUGCUUCUGUUUUCUUUUUUUUUGGACUCAGACAGCAAAGCUCCCUUUGGAUGACAUAGAUUUAUUACUUAGUAGUAUAUUAUGUAUUGGCUGUCCCACAUUUUGAAAUUUAAUGGACUCGUGGUGAUCAGAAUAAAAGAAGCCUUCGAUGUGAGGCCCAGGCAUUGAGUACCAUGUGUGCGAUUCACAAGCCUUGGCAUCUGAACAAUUUUUUGGAAGGAUCCAUCAGGACAACACGUCGGGGGUGUACUAGUGAAGUGAUUUUCCAAAUGUGCUACUCAGACCUGUAGCAUCAGCAUCACCGGAUAAUUUGUUAGAAAUUCCAACUGUUAGGCCCCACUUUAGACCAACUGAAUGUGAAACUCUGGGAGUACGUGGGGCCCAGCAAUUUGUGUUUUUACAAGACUUACCAGACCCUUGCCAAUCCCCAGGCCGCGAGGCCCUCUGAAGCCCUGAGCCUGGAGCGGUAGGAGACGGGGGAACUGAAACGCCGCGGAACCAGAGGCUGAGGGAGCGGCGCGAUGGAGGGAGGAGGAGCGACGGACCGGCAGGCCUAGCUCCGGGGCUGCGGCGGCUGAGGCGCGGGGAUGGAGCCCCUGCGGGUGCUGGAGCUAUACAGCGGCGUGGGCGGCAUGCACCACGCGCUGAGAGGUGAGAGUCCAUCUAGCACCCCUCUCUCUAUUCGCUCACGGGGGCUGGUUGGAGCACCCGCGCCGGGAAGGGGCGGAGCGGCGAGACGCAAGGGGCGGACACUGUGGGGCGGACACUGUGGGGCGGCCCUCGGUUGUCCUGGAAACAGCUCCUGCGCGCCGCCGUGUCCACCCCUCCAGACGCUGACUCCCUUCUCCUGGCGCCGAGUCUGGCUCGAGGGGCCGCACAUGGCGCCUCAAAGGGCCCAGUUGGGAGUCGGGAUUCGCAAGGCAGUAAAUCAACCUCAAAGGGUAUCAAAGGGGCGAGACCCUCGCCUGGUGCCAAGCCCCCAUUCUAAGUGUGCAGCCACCGAGAAGCAUGGAGACUCGGUCCUUCAUCCUGGGGGGCUUCCCAGCUGGGGAGGGAGGGAGUGUCAGGGGCUCCCCUGGUGAGAGAUGGAUCUUGGAAGGGAUAAUAGCUACAAUUCAAGGUAGAAGUUUGCGAAUGCUAAAUAGGAUGGUAGAGGAAGCUUGAAGAACUUGGACGUCUGAUCGUUGGAAAGAAACGUGUCUUCUGUAGUUCUGCGUUUAGAUGCCAGAGAACUGAGUUCCAGCUUGGUGGCAGUGUGACGUUGGGCUACUUCGUGAACAGUGAUGAACCUGUUUCCUGGUUUUAAAAGAGAAUGAUUAUUAUAAGGAUUAAAGUCUGUCAAGUGCUUGUUAGUGCCUGAUACAUUGUAACCACUCCAAAUAUUAUACAUUAUUAUCACUAUUACUUUAAAACGACAUCACGAGAUAUUAUCAAGCAAACUAUUACUUUUAUGCACGUCUUUGAUUUUGAGGUUUUUGAUUUCUUUCAUGCUGAGUUGGAACUGAAAGUUUUACUUUUGGUGAUAUUCACUCAAAAUUAUUUAUUGAGCUCCUAUUCUGUGCCAGAUUUUGUGCUAGGAGCUGGGGAUACAGAAUGACAAACAGGCUUUGAAGGUGCAUGUUUAUUCUUAAAUUACUAAGACAACCACCGAACUGAAACUUCCCUGCUUCCUUAUUUAGGACCAAGAGUAACAAGAGUAACUGUAAGAUACAGACAAUAUUUAAUGGGUUUAGCGUAUAAGUUUUUUGAGCAGAUUUAUUGAGUUUCAAUUCUAGACUAGGUUAAUGAUCAUUAAGUUUUUAGUACUUGUUUGCCGGCUAUCUUUAUUUCUCAUUUUAAAACUUAGCAGCAUCAAAGCAAAACUCUAGUACUAUUUACUCUUUGUUAAUUCUCUAAAGUGAUAUAAUGUCCGCGUUUUCCCAUAUCUUGAAACUCCUUAAUGAAUUGCUUAGUACUUUAUCAUAAGCUGUAAUUCAGCCAUUCCUUAAGUGUCGAAUAUUUAGAUCAUUCUUCAGUUUUUUUGCAAGUACAGUGUGCUACAGUUACAUUCUUGAGCAUAAUGCCGAUUUUCUCUUUAAGCAUGUUUACUAACUGUUGGAAUUAAUUCAACAGUAAGACUUAACUGUGUGCUAGUUACUAAGUGAAAAACAGAAUUUUUAAGGCUUUUGAGAGAGAGGAUAGCAAAUUGCUUUUCAGAGAUUUUUGAGUGCCUUAACUACAUAUUCAUCAGGGAUAUGUAUUAUCAAUUUUUAAUCCUUGCUAAUUUGUUAGGGGAAAUUGUGUAAUUUUAAGUGACAGUUUUGGGAUUAAUGAAAGAGUAAAAUAUUUUCUCUCCUAUUAGCCAAUGCAAUGUGAAUUUGUACACGUUUUUCUAUUGCCAGUUCUACUGUUGUGAAUCCAAGCUAUUAAGUUCUGUAAUUUAAAUUAUUAACAUAGCUUCCCAGCUUCUCUCCUUACUUCCAUUCUGCCUCCCUACUCCGUUUUCCUUCUAGCAGGCAGCAUGAUCAUUUGCACAGUAAACCAGAUCAUGUUACUUCGUUGCUUAAAUGGUUGCUUUUGAGAUUGUAAUCACAGUCCCAUCUUAACAGGCUUGUGAGUUCUGGCUUCUGUCUUCUCUUCAAUUUUAUCUGCCACUCUCCCUUCAGCAUCCCGCUUCACCGUCAACACCCAAAGCUGAAAUUCUAAUUAAACGAUUCCCUGAAUUCUUUCCUCAGCCUUUCUUGUCGAGGCUUACUGUUUUUCUUUCUCUCUACUCCUCAAACCCUCGAAGUUCUUCGAUGUUCUGGCCUUUGCUUUUGCUGUUGCCUCAUCCAGAGUGCUCCCUAACCCCAGACUUUUUCACUCUAGCUUCGGUUCACAUUUCAUGUCUUAGUUCAUAUAUUGGCCUUCCCUGGCUGACCCUGUGAUCCAAAGCAACUUUCCUGCCUCCCUGUACCUCUCUGCUCUCUCAUCUUUUCGGUGGAAAUCUGCAUAUUAGGGAUAUAGACUCUUAAUCAUAUUGAUGCAAAUAUUUUUCCACACUUGUUUGCCUUCCCAUGUUCACUUAUUUGAUGUACUAAAGUUUAAAAUUUACCUGUAAUAAAAUGCAUUGCUCCUUUCCAGGUGGUUUUUAAUAUAAUAAUAAAGACUAAUAACAGCAGCUAACUUUAGUGUUUAUUAGGGAUCUUUUAAAUUCAGGUCCUUUUUUAAGUAUGUAAUAAACUAGUUAGCGGUAGAACUGGUAUUUUAACCUAGGUCUACCUACCUGACCUUUUAACUAUGCUAUGUUGCCGUUGUUCUGGUUAGAACUACUAACUUCCUUGGAUCUAUACAUUAAAUAAUAUAAUAAGCAGCACAAAAGGAAUAAUAUUGAACUUCAUUUUUGACUGAUUUCUAGAUAAGGUUCAUAAUGGAAUUUUUUUAUUGUGGUAAAACACAACAUGAAAUGUAUCAUUUAAACUAUUUUUAAAUGUAUAGUUCAAUGGCAUUAAGUACAUUCACAAUGUUGUGCAACCAUCACCCUUGUUCAUUUCUAAAACUUUUUAAUCAUCUCAAACAGAGCUCUGUACCUGUUAAACAAUAACUCCAAAUUCCCUUUCCCCCCAGUCCCUGGUAACCUUGAUUCUGCUUUGUCUUUAUGAACUUGUCUACUCUGCGUACCACACAUAAGUAGAAUAAUACAUUUGUCCUUUUGUGUCUGGCUUAUUUCACUUAGAAUAAUGUCUUCAAAGUUCAUUUAUUUUGUAGCCUGUAUCAAUAUCUCAGUUCUUUUUGUGGUUGAAUAAUAUUCCAUUGUAUAGCUGUACAAUUUUGUGUAUCCAUUCAUCUGUUGAUAGACACUUGAGUUGUAUCAAUUACCUGCUGACCAUUGUGAGUAGUGCUGCUUUGGAUAUUGGUAUAUAAGUAUUGUUUGAGUCCUUACUUUUAAGUUUUGGGGUAUAGACCUAGCAGUGGAAUUGCUGGAUCAUAUGAUAAUACUGUGUAACUCUUGAGGAACCACCAGCCUGUUUUCCGCAGCAGCGGCACAAUUUUCCAUUGCAUGAGCACUCCGUUUCCUCUACCUCCAUAUUCUCCACUUGUUAUUCCAUUUUUUAAAAAUAAUAGCCAUUCUGAUGGAUAUGAAAUCAUAUCCUAUUGUGGUUUUGAUUUGCAUUUUCUUAAUAACUAAAGAUGUUGAGCAUCUUUUCUUUUUCUUUCUUUUUUUUUUUGAGAUGGAGUUUCGCUCUUCUUGCCCAGGCUGGAGUGCAGUGGCGCGAUCUCAGUUCACUGCAACCUCCGUCUCCCGGGUUCAAGCGAUCUUCCUGCCUCAGCCUCCCGAGCAGCUGGGAUUACAAGUCCCUGCCACCAUGCCUGGCUAAUUUUUUGUAUUUUUAGUAGAGAUGGGGUUUCACCAUGUUGGCCAGGCUGGUCUCGAACUCCUGACCUCAGGUGAUCCACCCACCUUGGCCUCCCAAAGUGUUGGGAUUACAGGUGUGAGCCACUGUGCCGGGUUGUUGAGGGUCUUUUCAUGUGCCUGUUAGUCAUUUGUUUUCUUCAAUACAGAGAAGUGUCUGUUCAAGGCCUUUGCCCAUUUUGGAAUUUUCUUUUUGUUAUUGAGUUGUAGGCUUUAUAUAUUCUGGAUCUUAAUGUCUUAUUGGAUAUAUGAUUUGCAAAUAUUUUUCCCCACAUUACUGAAUUUUCAGUUAUAAAAAGUAUAUUUAAUUUCUUUAGCAACAUGAUAGAUUUGCCUCAAACCCAGUGAACAUUUAAAAAAUAUGUCAAUAAAAGUUUUUCAUCCUUAUCAGCAUAUCCAGUAUGCUGUUGCAUUUUUACAGUCACUACAUAGAUGCUUCUGUAUUUUCUAAAUUUCAUUUAACUUUAUUUAUAUCUAUUUUCCCAUGUAUUUACAUGGCUUAAAUGUAACAUUCUUUGCUGUUCCUUUCUGUUCCUGUACAGCCUCUAGCACAGUACCACACUCUUUCUAGCUUACUAUUGAGGUUACUAUUGAAUUGAUAAUCCUUCUGCUAUCGUUUUAUCAAAUGAUGAAGGUUUAUUUAGCCCAGAUUCUUUUUUUGUAUUAUAUGUAGUUCUUAGUUGCAACCCACAGAAUCCACUCUAGCUAACAUAAUCAGGAAAAAAAAAAUUAAAAACAUUUGGAAACUCACAGAAUCUCCAGGACACCCAACAAACAGGUUAGGUGAACAGGAGCACUGCCCACACUAUAGUGUGGGUAUGGCCACAGUGAAGCUUUAUCCCGACAUCACAGCUUACACCAACAGUGCUGGGUUCUGGAAGCCAGAAGUGCUGUCGCAGUUUUCCCUUGAGAGGUGGAUGCCUCUUACCACCUCCCUUGCCAGAAAGAUGGGUUUCCUCGUUUGUUUAAGUUCUUCCAUUGCUACCUCUGAAUUGAAGUCUCUCCUCACACUGCUAACUCUAAACUGAGGUCUUAUCAUGUGGAUGCAGGUGGUUGGUAGACACUAGAUACCACGGCCAGACAAGGGAAGCUGAGAAGGUGAGUUCUGGCUUCUAUUUGGGGAAGGAAGGAUCCAUACUGUGGCAAAUUUUCAAACACAGGAAACAUAGGCAAAGAUUCUAGAUGGCCACAGUAUAACAAUGUCUAUUACAUUUUUAAAUACAUAUUUGACCUAUACAGAAACUACUUAUGUGUACUUUGAUAUUUAUGUCUGCACAGUCUACAAAGUUUUGGCUAAUGAGAAUCUUCCAAGUGAAAAUAUCUUCUUUCAGAAAGCAGUGGAAGAAGUAGUGUCACAGGUUAUAUAUCAGUGGAGCCUGCAAGGUCACCUGCAAAUAUAUGCAAAUAAGAUUCUGUAUUUUUCUCAUUUUAAAAUGUAGUAUCAGGAGAAGAGUAAAGUGUGGUUUAAGGUGGUGAAUAAAGGAAAGCUCUAGCUGGAUGACUGUUUUCUAUAUAGUCAAAUAUUGGAGUCAGCCUUAAAAGCAAAAAGGCCUGUCUGCCAAAUAGCUUCUAAAGCUCUUCCAAGGAGUUGGCUUUGAGUUUUACCCCAUAAUACUUCAUUGUGUUUAGUAAGAAUUACUCAGCCUUAAUAUUUUCUUUUAAAAUGCUAAGCAUCUCAUUUGUCACGUAUUAAUUAUUCAUUUUCUGAAUCUCUUUUGUCUUUGUUCCUCAACGACUUACAUGCCAACUUGGGAGUCUACUAGACCAGCUUGUAACUGGGUGUGUUUGUAACUGAAUCAGGCAACUACAUUACGAUGAAGUGUAUUUGUAUGUAGAUAUGAAUGUCACCUAAGGAUAUUUUUAUAGCAUCAGUUGUUAGGGGCUGGCCUAUGAACCGCUUAAUUUUUUUUUCAGUUAUACAUACCUGUCUUUGGGAUUAUAAAAUUUUCCUUUUCAUGCCUCUUUCCUUCUAGUUACUCUUAUAUAGCAAGUCAUAUUUAAAGUGAAGCAACGUAAAAAGUUGUCCUAUUAAAAUAAAUUUAUCAUUUCUUCUCUGGCAGCUGUGGAAGUUAAUAAACUUGAAAUACAAAAAAGAAAUACGUAAGAUGAAUUUUGAGUAUUCAGUAAAAGAGAACUUUAACUUCCCAUUAGACAAUUGAAUUACUUAUCUUUUCUUGUGAGGAAUAAUGUGUGCUUACUUCACUGCAAAGUAUUUUUUGGGGUUAGGGGUAAAUUUUUUUUUUUUCAGCUUCUAGAUUCAAGGGGUACAUGUGCAAGUUUGUUACUUAGGUAUAUUGUGUGAUGCUCAGAUGUGAGGUAUCAAUGAUCCCACCACCCAGGCACUGAGCAUAGUACCCACAGUUAGUUUUUUAACCUUUGCUGCCCCCCUUCUCUCUCUAGUAGUCCCCGGUGUCUAUUGUUGCCAUCUUUUUGUCCAUGAGUAUCCAAUGUUUAACUCCCACUUAUUAGUGAGAACAUGAGGUAUUUGGUUUUCUGUUUCUGUGUUAAUUCACUAAGGAUAAUGGCCUCCAGAUGCAUCCAUGUUGCUACAAAGGAUAUGAUUUUGUUCUUUUUUAUGGCUGCGUAGUAUUCCAAUGGUGUAUAUAUACCACAUUUUCUUAAUUCAGUCCGCCAUUGAUGGGCACGUCUUUGCUAUUGUGACUAGUGCUGUGAUGAACAUGCAAGUAUAUGUGUCUUUUUGGUAGAAUGAUUUUGCUUUCUUUUGCAUGUAUACUCAGUAAUGAGCUUGCGAGGUUGAAUGGUAGUUUUGUUUUAAGUUCUUUGAGAAAUUUCCAAGCUGCUUUCCACCAUGGCUGAAUUUAUUUACAUUCCCAUCAACAGUGCAUAAGGGUUCCCUUUUCUCCGCAGCCUUGCCAGCAUCUGCGUUUUUUUUUUUUUUUGACUUUUUUUUUUUUUUGAGUCGGAUUCUUGCUUUGUUGCACAGGCUGGAGUGCAGUGGUGCAAUCUUGGCUCACUGCAACCUCUGCCUCCCGGGUUCAAGCUAUUCUCCUGCCUGAGCCUCCCUAGUAGCUGUGAUUACAGGUGCCCACGACCACGCUUGGCUAAUUUUUGUAUUUUUAGUAGAGACAGGGUUUCACCAUGUUGACCAGGCUGGUCUGGAACUCCUGAUCCCAAGCAAUCCACCUGCCUCGUUCUCCCAAAGUGCUGGGAUUACAGGCAUGAGCCAUCACGCCUAGCUUUUUAUUGACUUUUUAAUCGUAGCCAUUGUGACUGGUUUGAGAUGCUGUCCUAUUGUGGUUUUGAUUUGCAUUUCUUGAAGAUUAGUGAUGAUGACUAUUUUUUUUCAUUUUGUUGAUGGGCCACUUCUUUUGAGAAGUAUCUGUUCAUGUCCUUUGCCUAGUUUUUAAGUGGGGUUGUUUGUUUUUUGCUUGUUCAGUUGUUUAAGUUUCUUUUAGAUUCUGGAUACUAGACCUUUCCCAGAUGCAUAGUUUGCAAAUAUUUUCUCCCAUUCUGUGAGUUGUCUGUUUACUCUGUUGAUAGUUUCUUUAGCUGUGCCGAAGGUCUGUAGUUUAAUUAGGUCCCACUUGUCAAUUUUUGUUUUUGUUGCAAUCGUUUAUGAAGACUUAGUCAUAAAUUCUUUUCCAAGGCCAAUGUCCAGAGUGGUGUUUCCUAGGUUUUCUUCUAGAAUUCUUAUUGUUUGAGGUCUUACGUUCAAGUCUUUAAUCCAUCUUGAGUUAAUUUUUGUAUAUGGUGAAAGGUAGGGGUCUAGUUUCAUUCUCCUGCAUAUGGCUAGCCAGCUAUCCUAGCACCGUUUAUUAAAUAGUGAGUCCUUUCCCCAUUUUUUUUGUCUACUUUGUUGAAGAUCAGAUGACUGUAGGUGUGUGCCUUUAUUUCUGGGUUAUCUAUUCUGUUUCGUUUGUCUGAUAUGUCUGUUUUGUACCAGUACCAUGCUGUCUUGGUUACCGUAGUCUUAUAGUAUAGUUUGAAGUCCAUUAAUGUGAUACCUCUGGCCUUGUUCUUUUUGCUUAGGAUUGCUUUGGCUAUUCAGGCUUUUAUAUGGUUCCAUAUGAGUUUUAGAAUAGUUUGUUCCAAUUUUAUGAAAAAAUGAUGCUAGUAGUUUGACAGGAAUAGCACUGAAUCUGUAGAUUGCUUCAGGCAGUACUACCAUUUUAACAACAUUGAUUUUUUGAAUCCAUAAGCAUGGGAUGUUUUUCCAUUUGUUUGUCACCUGUAUGAUGUCUCUUAGCAGUAUUUUGUCAUUCUCCUUGCAGAGAUCUUUCACCUCCUUGGUUAGAUGUAUUCCUAGGUAUUUUUAUAUGUUUUUUGUGGCUGUUAUAAAGAAGAUCACAUUCUUGAUUUGACUCUCAGUUUGAACAUUAUUUGUGUAUAGAAAUGCUUCUAAUUUUUGCACAUUAAUUUAGUAUCCUGAAGCUUUGAUGAAGUCAUUUAUUAGUUCCAGUAGACUUUUGGUGGAGACUUUAGAGUAUUCUAGGUAUAAAAUAAUAUCAUCUGCAAAGAGAGAUCGUUUGACGUCUUCUCACUCUGUCACCCAGGGUGGAGUGCAGUGGCUUAAUCUUGGCUCACUGCAACCUCUGCCUCCUGGGUUCCAGCGAUUCUCCUGCCUCAGCCUCCUGGGUAGCUGGGACUACAGGCAUGCGCCACCAUGCCUGGCUAAUUUUGUAUUUUUAGUAGAGACGGGGUUUCACCAUGUUGGCCAGGCUGGUCUCGAACUCCUGACCUCAGGUGAUCAGCCCACCCCAACCUCCCAAAGUGCUGGGAUUACAGGUGUGAGCCACUGUGCCUGGCUCCUUUAUUUCUUUCUGUUGAGGGAUUGCUCUGGCUAGUACUUCCAAUACUAUGUUGAAUAGAGUGGUGAGAAUGGGCAUCCUUGUCUUGUUUCAGUUCGCAAGGGGAAUGCUUCCAUCAUUUGCCCACUCAGUAUGAUGUUGGCUGUGGGCUUGUCAUAGAUGCUCUUAUUAUUUUGAGGUAUGUUCCUUUGAUGCCUACUUUCUUGAGGGGUUUUUAUCAUGAGGAAAUGUUGGAUUUUAUUGAAAGCUUUUUCCACAUCUUUUGAGAGGAUCAUAUGGAUUUUGUUUAUUCAGUGUACCUUGAUGUUCAAAUACGUUUAGAAACUCUCCACACAACAUCUUUCCUUGAGACCUUCUCAAGACACGUGAAAUGUAUCAGGUUUUGAGAAGUAAAGAAGCUGUUUGGCUUAAAACAGUGCUUCCCAUAUGUAUUUAUAUUUGGGCAAGGACCCUGCUGCUCCUGCCCCUCGCCCACCCUUUUGUUUUGCGGGGAAGGAGAGCACACCUACAUUGUGAAAACAGUGCUCCUUAGUGCGUGUUUCCGGAAAUGUCUGAUGGGCAACAAAAGGGCAGUGAUGGAGCUGAGGGAGAUGCUGGGGUUGUGAAAGAAAAGAUGCGCCAGGGCUAUACAUAUUAGCCAACUAUGUUCAUAAUUUGGACGAACUUUGAAAUAAGCUUCUCUGUAAUAUUUCUAUUAGGCAGGUAUUGUCAUUCUUACUAUCUCUGUUUUCUCCUAGAAUGCCCAAAGCUGAACUACUGGUCUCUGAUCCCUUCCAAAACUUGCCACUCUUGUAACCUGCCUCACCCCAAUAACAGGUGGCUUUGUUCUUCUAGUUGCCCACACCUGAGCCUUGGAGUCAUCUUGUUUCUUCUUUUUCACCCACAUCAGCCAGUUCUACAGGCUUUACCUUCAGACUAUAUUUAUAACUCUAUCAUUUCUCUCCAUUUUCACCUUUACCACCUGAUCUAUAAUCUCUCUCCUGUCUUGUCAGACUUAAUUUUUGCGCUGCCCGGAUUUGCUUGGCCCCACCUGCCUCCUGGCCUGGGGCUGCUGGUUCAGUGUCACACCCUGACUAAUGCCACCUUGCCUCAUCUGACACUGUCAGGGGGUGAUGGCCGAGCUUGACCCUCAGAAUGAUUGUCGACCCCUGUACCUGGACUCAGGUGAAGUGUCAGGCUGUGGGCAUGCACUCUGUCUGCUCAGUAGCUGUCUUGAGGAGUCAGAUCACAAAACCUGACUUGUGUGUGUAGGUAGCAGGGAGGUGGGGAGUCACGCUUUGGGGGGACUUUUGACCAAUAACAGACAGGAUGAGAAAGGAGCCAGAAGAUACACUCUCUCCCUCCUCCCGCAAUGGUGCUCCUUGCUCAAAUGCCAGUGAGAAGAUGGGAAGUGCUAUUUCAGACCCAGUAGCGUCUCUACUGCAGGGCAUCUCAUCAUCUCCCACAGCAGAUACAGCCCUCCCCUGACAGCUCUGAGGUGUGGUCAUCCCAUCCAGCCUGGCUCUACCAAAUCCCUCAUUGCCAGAGCAGUUGGCUGGGUUUCUGGGAAGCAUUGACCGACGUGCUAAUGCACUCCCUCCUUCUCUGCCUCACUGCCCUAACUCUUGCCGCUUCGGAGUUUUCCUUCCAGAUAAAGCAUCUGCAGCUAAGCUUGGCCUGAGCUACUUUUCUGGGACCCUGGACAAAGCAUUAUUGCAGUAGCCUCUUUACUGAUCUUGCUUCUGCUCUGGCAUUGCAAGUUUGUUUUCAGUAGAGUGGCCAGAGUGAUCUUUAAAAAAUAUAUCUGAUAAGUUAUUACUGUGAUUAAAACUCCUGAGGAGCUUCUCCGACCACUCAGAAACCAGAGUCCUGAAUGGGUCCCCAGGCCUGCUUGGGCUAGAGACACUUUCUCUCUGGGGCCACAUCUCCUGUGGCUGUCCCCUUGCUCACUCUACUCCAGGCUCCCUGGCCUCCUGGUUGUUCUUCCUACAAAACCAGCAUGUUCCCAUCUCUGGGCCUUUGCUGUGUCUCUUCUCUCUGUCCUAGAAAGUGCUUCUCCCUGAUAUCUGUCAGGCCCAUCCCCUCAUCUCUUCCAGGUUGCUGCUAAAGAGACAUUCUGUAACCGACCUACAUAAAACUAGAACCACUCCCUUCUCCCAUGCUGUCUUGCUCUGGUUUUUAGUUUUCUCCAUAGUACUUUUUAUUGUUAGGCAUAAUUUAAACUUGUUUGUUUAUUGUCUGUCUCUCUCCUCUAGAAUGUAGGCUCCAUGAUAGGAUAGGCUUUGUCUGGAAUAAUCCUUUUAUAUACUUGUUGAAUGCGUGAAUGAACAAAUGAAAAAAUGAACUAUAGGCAUGCUUGCUGUGAAAUAUCUGCAGCUUGAUGUAGAUAUCAUCCUUCUGUGAUAAGUUUAAACUUAAGUAUUAAGUCUGAAUCAUGAAGAGUUUUUGUAGGCAUGGUUGUGUGUGAGAUUUUAAUAGAUAACAAAUAUUUUUCUGUAAUACAUGAUAAAACAUUUUUGUUCUUUUUAUUUAAAACAUUUUAAAUAUUGUCAAAAUAAUCAGGGCUUUUGAGAAUAAAUUGGUCUUUACUCACUGUAAAAUUUAAAUCAUAUGCUAACAGUGAGCUAUGGCCAAAAUAAUUAAGUUUAAGUGGUUUUUUUUUUUUUUUGCUCUUUUAUUCCUGUCAAGAAAUAUGAACUCUUUAUUUUUCAAAGUUGAAAAGAAGUUGAUGUAUGAGAGCAAAUCUACACAUAAUUACACGGUGAUUAUUAUCAUAAUGAUAAAUAAGGUCAAGGUUACAUGUACAGUUUGGUGUCUGGAACCUUUUUAGAAUCUCUGUUGCCUUUUGCUUUCCCAUGGAACAUUAUCAGAAAUAUUGGUGAAAAGUGCUACCCAGGAAUAGUGCCAACCAGCUCUCCUCUUGUCUAAAAGCGUAAAAUUAUAUCUCAUUUUUAGCGACUAGGUAAAGUGUAUGUUGGAAUUUUAAAAAUUACCGUUACUUCGCCUGGACCAAUGGUUUCUUUUACUUAUAUCCACUAAUUAUUUUCAUUCUGAGACUUUAAAUCAACACAAACCUAGCCAAACCCCUUUGUGUAAAGUAAAACAGCUCUAUUAGAGAGCUGAACAUUAAUAUUAAAUAGUUCUUGUGCAUCCAUUACUGAUUUUUGUUCAAACUCAAUAAUGAAGUUAAUUACCCUCUAGUACUCAAUGAAUGAGACUCAAGAAACAAAUGCCAGAGUCUUUUAGCACAAACAGGACCCCAUAGACUUUGGCAGAUGCCUUCAUUAGAGUUGAAUUUUGGUUCAAAAAGAACCUAUAAUUCAAAGGAUUUGUAGUUUAAAAAUUCUAGUUAAAUUGAAAUCAUAUGUUAGC
rnacentral:lncRNA from 1 species